CAGGCCUAACACAUGCAAGUCGAACGAGAAAGUGGAGCAAUCCAUGAGUAAAGUGGCGACCGGGUGAGUAACACGUGACUAACCUACCUUCGAGUGGGGGAUGACCUCGGGAAACCGAGGCUAAUACCGCAUAACAUCGCAAGAUCGAAGCAGCAAUGCGCUGGAAGAGGGGGUCGCGGCUGAUUAGCCAGUUGGCGGGGUAACGGCCCACCAAAGCGAAGAUCGGUAGCCGGCCUGAGAGGGCGCACGGCCACACUGGAACUGAAACACGGUCCAGACUCCUACGGGAGGCAGCAGUGGGGAAUUUUGCGCAAUGGGGGAAACCCUGACGCAGCAACGCCGCGUGGAGGAUGAAGUCCUUCGGGACGUAAACUCCUUUCGAUCGGGACGAUAAUGACGGUACCGGAAGAAGAAGCCCCGGCUAACUUCGUGCCAGCAGCCGCGGUAAUACA
rnacentral:rRNA from 1 species